AAUGAACGUUGGCGGCGUGGAUUAGGCAUGCAAGUCGAGCGAGAAUUUCCCCGCAAGGGGAGAGGACAGCGGCAAACGGGGUAGUAACAGGUAGGUAACGUACCCUCGGGUCGGGGAUAGCCACGGGAAACUGUGGGUAAUACCCGAUAAUCUCCUGGAUCGUCAUGGUUCGGGAGCAAAGGUGUGAUUCCACCGGAGGAGCGGCCUGCUUCGUAUUAGCUUGUUGGUGAGGUAACGGCUCACCAAGGCUUCGAUGCGUAGGGGGUGUGAGAGCAUGACCCCCACCACUGGGACUGAGAUACUGCCCAGACACCUACGGGUGGCUGCAGUCGAGAAUCUUCGGCAAUGGGCGCAAGCCUGACCGAGCGACGCCGCGUGUGGGAUGAAGGCCCUUGGGUUGUAAACCACUGUCAGAGGGGAUGAAAUGCCAGCCAGCAAUCUGGUUGGUUUGACAUAGCCUCAGAGGAAGCACGGGCUAAGUUCGUGCCAGCCGCCGCGGUAACAC
rnacentral:rRNA from 1 species